CCAGAGACCCUGCUGUAUGCAUUCAGAUACCAGUGGGAAAUAUUCCCAUUACAUUGUGCUGUAGUGUGACCUGCAGUCUUUAUGCAUCUGGACUUUACUUUUACUAUGGACUCCACAGGCUGUUGACACAUGUGGAGAAUUAACAGAUCUAUCUGUACGACAACAGGAAUACCCAAUGGAAAUAUCUAUGAACUAACUCACACGCUCGCACAUCUUGCAAAGUAUGCAGAUGCUGUGAGUGGGAAGGGUUAAGCACUGAUUCUCCUGGGAGGGAAAAAAUAAUAAUAAAAAAUAAUUUUAAAAAAAAUUCUAAUUUUUAUACUAAGCCAGAAUACACAAACUUCAGCUGUUUAUAUUAUAAUGUUUUUAACAAGAAAUUCUGGAUUUUUUUUUUUUUUUUU